UACGUAGGGUGCAAGCGUUGUCCGGAAUUAUUGGGCGUAAAGAGCUCGUAGGCGGUCUGUUGCGUCCGCUGUGAAAUCUCGGGGCUUAACCCCGAGCCUGCAGUGGAUACGGGCAGACUAGAGGUAGGUAGGGGAGAAUGGAAUUCCCGGUGUAGCGGUGAAAUGCGUAGAGAUCGGGAGGAACAUCAGUGGCGAAGGCGGCCAUCUGGAUCAACACUGACGCUGAGGCACGAAAGCGUGGGGAGCAAACAGG
rnacentral:rRNA from 1 species